GACGAACGCUGGCGGCGUGCUUAACACAUGCAAGUCGAACGGAAAGUCCCUGCUUGCAGGGUAAUCGAGUGGCGAACGGGUGAGUAACACGUGGGUGAUCUGCCCUGCACUUCGGGAUAAGCCUGGGAAACUGGGUCUAAUACCGGAUAGGAGCUAUUUUUAGUGUGAUGGUUGGAAAGUUUUUUCGGUGUAGGAUGAGCUCGCGGCCUAUCAGCUUGUUGGUGGGGUAAUGGCCUACCAAGGCGGCGACGGGUAGCCGGCCUGAGAGGGUGGACGGCAACAUUGGGACUGAGAUACGGCCCAGACUCCUACGGGAGGCAGCAGUGGGGAAUAUUGCACAAUGGGCGCAAGCCUGAUGCAGCGACGCCGCGUGGGGGAUGACGGCCUUCGGGUUGUAAACUCCUUUCGCUAGGGACGAAGCUUUUUGUGACGGUACCUAGAUAAGAAGCACCGGCUAACUACGUG
rnacentral:rRNA from 1 species